CCUACGGGUGGCAGCAGUGGGGAAUAUUGCGCAAUGGGCGAAAGCCUGACGCAGCGACGCCGCGUGAGGGAUGAAGUUCUUCGGAUCGUAAACCUCUAUCAGCAGGGAAGAACCAUCACUGUGCUAAUCAGCAGUCACUUGACGGUACCUGCCCAGCAACCACCGGCUAACUCCGUGCCAGCACACUCGGUAGUACGGAGGGUGCUAGCGUUAACCGGAAUUACUGGGAGUAAGGGGCUCGUAGGCGGUAUGUCAAGUCAAAGGUGAAAGCCCGGGGCUUAACGUGGGAACUGCCUUUGAAACUGGCAAACUGGAGUAUGUGAGAGGAUAGUGGAAUUCCAGGUGUAGGAGUGAAAUGCGUAGAUAUCUGGAGGAACAUCAGUGGCGAAGGCGAUUAUCUGGAACAUAACUGACGCUGAGGAGCGAAAGCGUGGGUAGCAAACAGGAUUAGAUACCCUUGUAGUC
rnacentral:rRNA from 1 species